rnacentral:rRNA from 1 species
CAGGACGAACGCUGGCGGCGUGCCUAACACAUGCAAGUCGAGCGGGGACAUACGACGGAACCAAAGUUUCGGAUGGAGGUGAAGAUGUAUGUUCUAGCGGCGGACGGGUGAGUAACGCGUGGGCAACCUGUCCCUUACAGGGGGAUAACACAGCGAAAGUUGUACUAAUACCGCAUGAGACCACGGGGAGACAUCUUUCAGGGGUCAAAGGAGCAAUCCGGUAAGGGGUGGGCUCGCGUCCGAUUAGAUAGUUGGUGAGGUAACGGCCCACCAAGUCGACGAUCGGUAGCCGACCUGAGAGGGUGAUCGGCCACAUUGGGACUGAGACACGGCCCAAACUCCUACGGGAGGCAGCAGUGGGGAAUAUUGGGCAAUGGGGGGAACCCUGACCCAGCAACGCCGCGUGAGGGAAGAAGGUUUUCGGAUCGUAAACCUCUGUCCUUGGUGAAGAGUAAGAGACGGUAGCCAAGGAGGAAGCCCCGGCUAACUACGUGCCAGCAGCAGC